UACGUAGGGUGCAGGCGUUAAUCGGAAUUACUGGGCGUAAAGCGUGCGCAGGCGGCUUGCUAAGACAGGUGUGAAAGCCCCGAGCUUAACUUGGGAAUGGCGCUUGUGACUGGCAGGCUGGAGUGUGGCAGAGGGGGGUGGAGUUCCAGGUGUAGCAGUGAAAUGCGUAGAGAUCUGGAGGAACACCGAUGGCGAAGGCAGCCCCCUGGGCUAACACUGACGCUCAUGCACGAAAGCGUGGGGAGCAAACAGG
rnacentral:rRNA from 1 species